AUUGAACGCUGGCGGCAGGCCUAACACAUGCAAGUCGAACGAGUGGCGGACGGGUGAGUAAUGUCUGGGAAACUGCCUGAUGGAGGGGGAUAACUACUGGAAACGGUAGCUAAUACCGCAUACCAUCAGAUGUGCCCAGAGGGGAUUAGCUAGUGGGGGGGGUAACGGCGCACCAAGGCGACGAUCCCUAGAUGGUCUGAGAGGAUGACCAGCUACACGGGAACUGAGACACGGUCCUGACUCCUACGGGAGGAAGCAGUGGGGAAUAUUGCACAAUGGGCGCAAGCCUGAUGUAGCCAUGCAGCGUGUAUGAAGAAGGCCUGCGGUUUGUAAAGUACUUUCAGCGGGGAGGCGUUACCCGCAGAAGAAGCACCGGCUAACUCCGUGCCAGCCGCCGCGGUAAUAC
rnacentral:rRNA from 1 species